ACCUGGAAGACAGAAAGAAAAACACUUCAUAAUAGCAGGAAAGACAGAAAACUGAGGCUGAGGACACAUACCAGAAAUGAUAUUAUCAUAUUCACUCUGACAUCAAGUACAUCCUUUGGCUUGUGUUAUCUGGCUACAUCUAUGUCUGGGUUCAACAACCGUAGCGAACACUCACUCAAAAAGACGUCAGGAUACAUGAGCUCAGAUUUCAUGAUUAGGAUGGCACUGAAAAACAACACCGAAAAUCCAGGAAUGCUUUCCUUUCCCCAUCUCUCAGCACUACAAUGCUGAUAUCCCUCCUGCCGCCAAAGGGCCUACAAGCACAUUAUUCCCACAGAUGACAUGUAUCUUUUAUGCUUGGAUGGGAUCGCGUGUCAUUCCUAGUCCUUUGUUGAGCGGACUUCAUGUCAAACAACUGAUGACAGUGAUAGGAGAUGGCCUGACCUCUACAGCAUCUGAGUUCAUGCACAGGUGGCUGCCUGGUUUGGGUCCAGCAUGCUAGAGUUACCCUGAAGUCUUCUUUGUUCCUCCUGCCGAAUUGUCUUCAUGAAGUGAGCUCUCAGUCUUCCCUGCCGAGCUCGCUCACUGACCUGCA